rnacentral:rRNA from 1 species
UCAGGAAAGUNUGGAGUAAAAGGCUAUGGCUCNACCAUAGUGUGCUCUGGAAACUGUCUGACUUGAGUGCAGAAGGGGAGAGUGGAAUUCCAUGUGUAGCGGUGAAAUGCGUAGAUAUAUGGAGGAACACCAGUGGCGAAAGCGGCUCUCUGGUCUGUCACUGACGCUGAGGCUCGAAAGCGUGGGUAGCGAACAGGAUUAGAUACCCUGGUAGUCCACGCCGUAAACGAUGAGUGCUAGGUGUUAGGCCCUUUCCGGGGCUUAGUGCCGGAGCUAACGCAAUAAGCACUCCGCCUGGGGAGUACGACCGCAAGGUUGAAACUCAAAGGAAUUGACGGGGGCCCGCACAAGCGGUGGAGCAUGUGGUUUAAAUCGAAGCAACGCGAAGAACCUUACCAGGUCUUGACAUCCCGAUGCUAUUCUUAGAGAUAGGAAGUUACUUCGGUACAUCGGAGACAGGUGGUGCAUGGUUGUCGUCAGCUCGUGUCGUGAGAUGUUGGGUUAAGUCCCGCAACGAGCGCAACCCUUAUUGUUAGUUGCCAUCAUUAAGUUGGGCACUCUAGCGAGACUGCCGGUAAUAAACCGGAGGAAGGUGGGGAUGACGUCAAAUCAUCAUGCCCCUUAUGACCUGGGCUACACACGUGCUACAAUGGUCGGUACAACGAGUUACGAGCCGGUGACGGCAAGCUAAUCUCUGAAAGCCGAUCUCAGUUCGGAUUGGAGGCUGCAACUCGCCUCCAUGAAGUCGGAAUCGCUAGUAAUCGCGGAUCAGCACGCCGCGGUGAAUACGUUCCCGGGCCUUGUACACACCGCCCGUCACACCACGAGAGUUUGUAACACCCGAAGUCGGUGAGGUANCCUUCAGGG